rnacentral:rRNA from 1 species
ACUGCUAAGACUGGAUAGGAGAUAAGAAGGCAUCUUCUUAUUUUUAAAAGACCUAGUAAUAGGUAUGCUUAAGGAAGGGCUUGCGUCACAUUAGUUAGUUGGUUGGGUAAAGGCCUACCAAGACGAUGAUGUGUAGCCGGGCUGAGAGGCUGAACGGCCACAUUGGAACUGAGACACGGUCCAAACUCCUACGGGAGGCAGCAGUAGGGAAUUUUCGGCAAUGGAGGAGACUCUGACCGAGCAACGCCGCGUGAACGAUGAAGUAUUUCGGUACGUAAAGUUCUUUUAUUAAGGAAGAAAAGAUGGUGGAAAAACCAUUAUGACGGUACUUAAUGAAUAAGCCCCGGCUAACUAUGUGCCAGCAGCCGCGGUAAUACAUAGGGGGCGAGCGUUAUCCGGAAUUAUUGGGCGUAAAGGGUGCGUAGGCGGUUUAAUAAGUUUAUGGUCUAAGUGCAAUGCUUAACAUUGUGAUGCUAUAAAAACUGUUUGACUAGAGUUGGAUAGAGGCAAGUGGAAUUCCAUGUGUAGUGGNUAAAUGCGUAAAUAUAUGGAGGAACACCAUGAACGAAGGCCGCUUGCUGGGUCUUAACUGACGCUGAGGCACGAAAGCGUGGGGAGCAAACAGGAUUAGAUACCCUGGUAGUCCACGCUGUAAACGAUGAGUACUAGAUGUUGGGUUAAACCAGUGUCGAAGUUAACACAUUAAGUACUCCGCCUGAGUAGUACGUACGCAAGUAUGAAACUUAAAGGAAUUGACGGGACUCCGCACAAGCGGUGGAUCAUGUUGUUUAAUUCGAAGAUACCCGAAAAACCUCACCAGGUCUUGACAUGCUUCUGCAAAGCUGUAGAAAUACAGUGGAGGUUAUCAGUUGUACAGGUGGUGCAUGGUUGUCGUCAGCUCGUGUCGUGAGAUGUUGGGUUAAGUCCCGCAACGAGCGCAACCCUUGUUGUUAAUUGCCAUCAUUAAGUUGGGGACUUUAGCAAGACUGCCAGUGAUAAAUUGGAGGAAGGUGGGGAUGACGUCAAAUCAUCAUGCCCCUUAUGACCUGGGCUACAAACGUGAUACAAUGGCUGUUACAAAGGGUAGCUGAAGCGCAAGUUUUUGGCAAAUCUCAAAAAAACAGUCUCAGUUCGGAUUGAAGUCUGCAACUCGACUUCAUGAAGUUGGAAUCGCUAGUAAUCGCGAAUCAGCAUGUCGCGGUGAAUACGUUCUCGGGGUUUGUACACACCGCCCGUCAAA